UGAGGCCCCUGACUCAACCUGUCAUU
rnacentral:piRNA from 1 species